GUCACCGGAAAUCUGUACAUAAGAGCAGAGACAGAUGAAGAAGUCUAUUUCAUCUAUCAACAACGUGAGAACCUAGCCACAGACAAAGGCCUCAAUCUGCUCCAAGCUAGUAACUUUAAAAGUCCUAGAAAUCCCUUCUUCACUAUCUCAUUUCAACAUCCAUGACUUCACCAACUGCGGUUCAUUUUUUUAAAAUUAUCCUCAGACCAAGCCUUGCACUUGGAAUACUUAAGCUCCCAAAAAAGUUCACUAGAAAACAUGGUGAUGGAAUGUCAAAUCCGGUGUUUCUUAGAUCUCCUGAUGGUAUUGAAUGGAAAAUAUACUGGGCAAGGCGUGAUGGUGAGAUUUGGUUUCAAAAUGGAUGGAAGGAGCUUGUCACAUACUAUUCUCUAGAUCAUGGCCACUUGUUGUUCUUUGAAUACGAGGAAACUUCUCAUUUUGAUGUACACGUGUUUGACAAUAGUGCCCUUGAAAUAGACUAUCCUUCCCCCACUACUCAUGUUAGAAAGGACAACCUUGUACAUAUCAGUGAUGAUUCUGGUGAAACUUUGUUGGAGCAAUUUUCAUGUCAAAAUACUAGAGUGAAACCAAGUCUGUCUUCUGCUCAGCCUUGUAAGAAAACGAAAAAUAGCAAAGCUACAAGUGUUGUGGGAAUUAAAAGUUCUAGCUCUCAAGAGGAAAAACCUAUAAAGCAAAACCUAUAAACCAAUUUUUCAUAACUUGCAGCAUGUUAAGUCUUUCAGAAGUUGAAGGGAAAAAAGACACUUAUAACAUUGGAUGCUCAGAAGAGGAGCAGUUAACAUCUACGGCUUUAAACAAAGCCAUAAUUUUCAGAUCUGAAUACCCCUUCUUCUUGCUUGUCAUGAAGGAAUCCUUUAUCAAUGGAUAUUACCUGAAAAUACCAACAUAUUUUGUUGAAAAAUAUUUGAGGAAUGCACGUGCAGCUAUUAGUCUUGAGCUAUUGGAUGGGAGAACAUGGCCUGUUAUUUAUUGUGGUCAAAGAAUUAAUGGGGGAUGGCAUAAAUUUGCAUCAGAAAACAAUUUGAAUGUGGGGGAUGUUUGUGUUUUUGAGAUGAUCAAGAAGAUCCGGGGCUUUGCUUUCAAAGUUUCCAUCUUUCGAGGUGCAGAGGAAUGAACUUGUCCCAUUUCACAAGGUAAUCUAUUUUUCUUUUUUGUUUAUAUGCACAAUGAGAAUUUAGAAUCUAAUCAAGGAGAUGUAGCUAAUUAUGAUUAGACUUAACUCGUCAUUCAUGAGAGAUUCAUGCUUUAUGACAAUGAAGUGAAGAGUUAUGAACUAUUUUUCAUAAUUUAUAAUCGUUCCCUUUAAAAUGAGUCAAAUAUUGGAUGGAAAAGAGAGAUUUCAUAGGUAGUUUUUAUUACUACUCUCUACAAAAAGCUAGAAUUGAUUUCUCACAACGCUGUUAAAUCUGUUAAGAUAUCAUAGUUAGAGUCAAUUAUGGCAUCAGAAGAAUUGUCAGUUUUAGAACGCAAAACUCUUGUCACGGUUUUGAGGUCGGAUGCGGUAAUUGAGCUUGAAAUCAGAAAUGUUAGAUGGCAAGUAUUAUUAUUCUUUCAUGAAUAGUUAGAUUUUGCUCUAAUAGUGGUCUACAUGUAUAUACUUGACUUGAUUCAGUGUGUGCCUAUGAACUUUGCGAGGAAGUAUUUUGUAAAUUUUAAUCCGAAUGUGAUGAUAAUGCAGUUUAGAAACAAAUCGUGGCCUGUGAAGUUUGUGAAUAAUUCACUUUCAGCGACACUCGUUGUUCAUGCUUUUAGAAGUCAUGUAAUUAGGGGAUGUAGACUUCUUUAAAGUUUUUGUUAUGUCAAAAUAUUUUGUUUUUAUCAGUUUAUUGUUUUUUGUGUGGUAUGAUUGAUGUAUUUUCUCAGAUACAAGCCUUAUCACAGACCAUUA